rnacentral:rRNA from 1 species
GUAGUCCUAGCUGUAAACGGUGCACAUUUGCUGUAAAAGGAUUCGACCCCUUUUGUGGCGAAGCUAACGCGAUAAAUGUGCCGCCUGGGAAGUACGGUCGCAAGAUUAAAACUCAAAGAAAUUGACGGGGGCCUGCACAAGCGGUGGAGUAUGUGGCUUAAUUCGAUGCAACGCGAAGAACCUUACCUGGCCUUGACAUGCAAGUGGUAGGAGCCUGAAAGGGCAACGACCCCGCAAGGGGAGCUUGCACAGGUGCUGCAUGGCUGUCGUCAGCUCGUGUCGUGAGAUGUUGGGUUAAGUCCCGCAACGAGCGCAACCCUUGUGUCCUGUUGCCACCCGAACGAGAGUUCGGAGCACUCUGGACAGACUGCCUCGCUUAAACGAGGAGGAAGGUGGGGAUGACGUCAAGUCAGUAUGGCCCUUACGGCCAGGGCUGCACACGUACUACAAUGCCCGAUGCAAAGGGAAGCAAGACCGCAAGGUGGAGCAAAUCUCAAAAAAUCGGGCCCAGUUCAGAUUGUCGUCUGCAACUCGACGACAUGAAGCCGGAAUCGCUAGUAAUGGCGCAUCAGCUACGGCGCCCGUGAAAAA